AGAAUCAACGCUGGCGGCGUGCCUAACACAUGCAAGUCGAACGAGAAAGCGGAGCAAUCCGCAAGUAAAGUGGCGCACGGGUGAGUAACACGUGACUAACCUACCCUGGAGUGGGGGAUAACUGAGAGAAAUCUUAGCUAAUACCGCAUAACACCUACGGGUCAAAGGAGCAAUUCGCUUCAGGAGGGGGUCGCGGCAGGAUUAGAUAGUUGGCGGGGUAAUGGCCCACCAAGUCAGUGAUCUGUA
rnacentral:rRNA from 1 species